rnacentral:rRNA from 1 species
CACGUAGGGCGCAAGCGUUGUCCGGAAUUAUUGGGCGUAAAGAGCUCGUAGGCGGUCUGUUGCGUCCGCUGUGAAAACUCGGGGCUUAACCCCGAGCCUGCAGUGGAUACGGGCAGACUAGAGGUAGGUAGGGGAGAAUGGAAUUCCCGGUGUAGCGGUGAAAUGCGUAGAUAUCUGGAGGAACACCGGUGGCGAAGGCGGCAUUCUGGACUGCAACUGACACUGAUGAACGAAAGCCAGGGGAGCAAACGGG